ACAGAGGGUGCGAGCGUUAAUCGGAAUUACUGGGCGUAAAGCGCGCGUAGGCGGUUAUAUAAGUUGGAUGUGAAAUCCCUGGGCUCAACCUAGGAAUUGCAUUCAAAACUGUAUGACUUGAGUGAAGUAGAGGUGAGUGGAAUUUCCGGAGUAGCGGUGAAAUGCGUAGAUACCGGAAGGAACACCAGUGGCGAAGGCGACUCACUGGGCUUUAACUGACGCUGAGGUGCGAAAGCGUGGGGAGCAAACAGG
rnacentral:rRNA from 1 species